GGGAGCGCGCAGAGUCCCGCUGACAAAUGGCUGCUGCAUCGGGGCGCACUGCGCCCGCGAGCGGGCUGUAGGGCCCGCGCCGCCCCGUCCCCGCCGCUCCCUUACCAUGAGGCCGGUGAGUCGCCGAGACCUGGACUGGACUUACUCCUUGUUGCUACUCGCAAUCGUCUUGCUCUCUUGGGGAUUCGUCAUCUAUGCAUCGACUGUAGCUGCACGACGACAACUACAGAAGGAGUUUCCAGACAAGUUCUUCUGAAUGAACUUUUGUAAUUCUUAGCAAACGUUUCCUCAAGUGGCACCUAUGUAGACUCAAAAGUAAAAUUCACAAUACAACUUUGCGUAUGGUCUUUUGUGAUAAGCGUUAACAUGCCAAUUUUUCAAAAUGAUCGGACAACACUUUUGUUUUUGUAAGACAGGGUUUCUCUGUGUAGCCCUGGCUGUCCUGAAACUCACUCUGUAGACCAGGCUGGCCUUGAAUCCGCCUGCCUCUGCCUCCCAAGUGCUGGGAUUAAAGGCGUGCACCACCACUGCCCGGCUCUUUUUUGUAUCAGGUCAUAGCUUUUCAUUCUAGUGCUCAGACACUUCACAUCCUCAUGUCAAAUCAGUAUGUAAACAACACUUUGUGACUAAAAUGUGUUUUGUAUUCUAUUUAUCAAAAUGGACAGAAAAAAGGAGCUAAUAGCUCUGUUUAGUAUUUGUUUUUUACUGUUAGUCUCAAAUCAAAGAACCCUUGGACACUAACAAGGACAGUGAUAACACUCUGAGAGUAAGCUUUAUUACUUUUCCAGGAAACAGAUUCAGCAAACACAGCACUUUAGGAACAUACUUGUGCUGAUACACAAGUCUGUUAAGGUUUUAAGGACUCUUCAAUGAUGUUGAUCAGGAAAAUCUCUCAUUGGUGGAAUUACUUCUCCAGUCUCCAUAAUUGUAUCACCCUAGGGAAAACAGGAAGUGUUUAAUAGAAAUUUUUUUCACCAAAUAUACAUUUCAUUGUAAAUAUUCCAACAUUUGCUCAACACAAUAAAUGAUU
rnacentral:lncRNA from 1 species